AUGGCGAUGGGCAGCACGAGGCUGGUGUUGAGGGCCUUGACCUUGAUGGUGCUGCAAAGGCAGAGAGCGGCAUCGAGGCCGGCCACGCCGGACAGCAACGGGCAGCAUGAAUCGCUGGCGCUACCACCGAUCACCGCGUGCAGCAGCCCAUUGAGCACGUCCACGCACGCCAGCAGCUUCAGCGUGUCCACAGGGCACUUGCCAGUCGGUGUCGCCGGGGAU
rnacentral:rRNA from 1 species